UUCCGGUUGAUCCUGCCGGAGGCCAUUGCUAUCGGAGUCCGAUUNAGCCAUGCUAGUCGUGCGAGUUCAGACUCGCGGCACCGAGCUCAGUAACACGUGGCCAAACUACCCUACAAGAGACAAAUACCCUCGGGAAACUGAGGUUAACCCGUCAUACCGAUCUCAGGCUUGAAUCGCAGAGAUCACAAAACGCCCCGGCGCUGUAGGAUGUGGCUGCGGUUGAUUAGGUAGACGGUGGGGUAACGGCCCACCGUGCCCAUAAUCAGUACAGGUUGUGAGAGCAAGAACCUGGAGACGGAANCUGAGACAAGAUUCCGGGCCCUACGGGGCGCAGCAGGCGCGAAACCUUUACACUGCACGCACGUGCGAUAAGGGGACUCCGAGUGCGAGGGCAUAUCGUCCUCGCUUUCGUGUACNGUAGGGUGGUACACCAACAAGGGCUGGGCAAGACCGGUGCCAGCCGCCGCGGUAAUACCGGCAGCCCGAGUGAUGGCCGAUCUUAUUGGGCCUAAAGCGUCCGUAGCUGGCUGCGCAAGUCCGUCGGGAAAUCCACCCGCCCACGGGUGGGCGUCCGGUAGAAACUGGCCGGCUUGGAACCGGAAGGCUCAGAGAGUACGUCCGGGGUAGGAGUGAAAUCCCGUAAUCCCGGACGGACUACCGAUGGCGAAAGCACUCUGAGAAGACGGCUUCGACAGUGAGGGACGAAAGCUCGGGUCUCAAACCGGAUUAGAUACCCGGGUAGUCCGAGCUGUAAACGAUGCUCGUUAGGUGUGGCACCCACUACGAGUGGGUGCUGCGCCGUAGGGAAGCCGCUAAACGAGCCGCCUGGGAAGUACGUCCGCAAGGAUGAAACUUAAAGGAAUUGGCGGGGGAGCACUACAACCGGAGGAGCCUGCGGUUUAAUUGGACUCAACGCCGGACAUCUCACCAGCCCCGACAUCAGUAAUGACAGUCAUGUUGACGACAUCCACUCGAGCUGAUGAGAGGAGGUGCAUGGCCGCCGUCAGCUCGUACCGUGAGGCAUCCUGUUAAGUCAGGCAACGAGCGAGAUCCACGUUCCUAAUUGCCAGCACCACCGCACGGUGGGUGGGUACAUUAGGAGGACUGCCAGUGUUAAACUGGAGGAAGGAACGGGCAACGGUAGGUCAGUAUGCCCCGAAUAAGCUGGGCAACACGCGGGCUACAAUGGCUAAGACAAUGGGUCGCUAUCUCGACAGAGAACGCUAAUCUCGAAACUUAGUCGUAGUUCGGAUUGAGGGCUGAAACUCGCCCUCAUGAAGCUGGAUUCGGUAGUAGCCGCCUUUCAGUAGAAGGCGACGAAUACGUCCCUGCUCCUUGCACACACCGCCCGUCAAAGCACCCGAGUGAGGUCCGGAUGAGGCUAUCAUUGAUAGUCGAAUCUGGGCUUCGCAAGGGGGCUUAAGUCGUAACAAGGUAACC
rnacentral:rRNA from 1 species